rnacentral:rRNA from 1 species
AACGAACGCUGGCGGCAUGCCUAACACAUGCAAGUCGAGCGGACCCUUCGGGGCUAGCGGCGGACGGGUGGGUAACGCGUGGGAAUAUGCCCUUCUGUACGGAAUAGUCCCCGGAAACGGGUGGUAAUACCGUAUAGUCUAUUUGGGGGAAAGAUUUAUCGGCGUAGGAUUAGCCCGCGUUGGAUUAGGUAGUUGGUGGGGUAAUGGCCUACCAAGGCGACGAUCCAUAGCUGGUCUGAGAGGAUGAUCAGCCACACUGGGACUGAGACACGGCCCAGACUCCUACGGGAGGGAGGAGUGGGGAAUAUUAGACAAUGGGGGCAACCCUGAUCUAGCCAUGCCGCGUGAGUGAUGAAGGCCUUAGGGUUGUAAAGCUCUUUCAGCCGGGACGAUAAUGACGGUACCAGGAGAAGAAGCCCCGGCUAACUCCGUG